AUGGCGACAAGAAUCAAGAUACUCACGUCUCUCGCCAUCUGUGCCGCGCUUGUGCUCGUGCUCCUUCCGUUCACGGCGGCCGAUGGCGGCGGUGGCGCCAAGGGCGCGGCGCCAUUCGACUACAAGAAGGCGCUCCACAGCAGCCUCCUCUACUUCGAGGCGCAGCGAUCGGGCCACCUGCCGCACAACCAGCGCGUCAAGUGGCGCGGCCACUCGGGCCUCGCCGACGGCCUGCAGCAGGGCGUAGACCUCGUGGGCGGGUACUACGACGCCGGCGACAACGUCAAGUUCGGCCUGCCGAUGGCGUUCACGGUCACCAUGCUGUCGUGGAGCGCCAUGGAGUUCGCGGACGACAUCGCGGCCGCCGGCGAGUGGCGGCACGUGCUGGAGGCCAUCAAGUGGGGCACCGACUACUUCGUCAAGGCGCACACCGAGCCGUACGUGCUCUGGGCGGAGGUCGGUGACGGCGACACCGACCACUACUGCUGGCAGCGGCCCGAGGACAUGACCACGUCGCGGCAGGCCUACAAGGUCGACAGCGACAACCCCGGAUCCGACCUCGUCGGGGAGACCGCCGCCGCGCUGGCCGCUGCCUCCAUGGUGUUCCGCCGCUCCAACCCCCACUACGCACAAGUUCUCCUCCACCACGCCGAGCAGUUGUUCGAGUUCGGGGACAAGUACAGGGGAAAGUACGACAGUAGCAUCGGCGAGGCGUAUAGCUACUACGCGUCGGUGAGCGGGUACGGCGACGAGAUGCUUUGGGCGGCGCUGUGGCUGCACCGGGCGACGGGGAAGGCGAGCUACCUGGACUACGCCGUGGACAUGGCCGACGAGUUCGGCGGCACCACCUGGGCUAUCACGGAGUUCAGCUGGGACGUCAAGUAUGCCGGCCUCCAGAUCCUCGCCACCAAGGUGCUGCUGGAAGGGAAGCACCCGGAGCACAAGGCGACGCUGGAGAAGUACAAGGCCAAGGCGGAGCACUACCUCUGCGCCUGCCUCAACAAGAACGGCGACGCCGGCAACGUCAACCGCACGGCCGGCGGCAUGCUCUUCGUCCGGCAGUGGAACAACAUGCAGUACGUCACCAACGCCGCAUUCCUCCUCACCGUCUACUCCCGCUACCUCACCUCCGCCGGCCAGGAGCUGCCGGUGCUGCAGUGCCCCGACGGGCCGGGGCACGCCGAUGAGCUGCGGGCCCUGGGACGGGCGCAGACCGACUACGUCCUCGGCGCGAACCCUGCCGGCGUGAGCUACUUGGUCGGGUACGGCCAGCGGUUCCCGCGGCGGAUGCACCACCGUGGCGCAUCCAUCGUGUCCCACCGUGGCGACGGCAGGUUCAUCGGGUGCAUGCAGGGGUACGACAACUGGUUCCUCCGGAGGGGAUCAAACCCGAACGUUGUCGUCGGCGCCAUCGUCGGCGGGCCGGACCACCUCGACCGGUUCAGGGACAGGCGUGACAACUACAUGCAAACGGAGGCAUGCACGUACAACACCGCGCCCAUGGUUGGCAUCUUCGCACACUUGCACGGUGAAACAGCCAUCACGGAGAAAAGUUGA
rnacentral:rRNA from 1 species